rnacentral:rRNA from 2 species
GCGGUAAUUCCAGCUCCAAUAGCGUAUGCUAAAGCUGCUGCGGUUAAAAAGCUCGUAGUUGGAUCUCAGUUGCGGGCGGGUGGUGCAUCUACCCGAUGUGACAGCCCGAUCUGAACAUCUUGCCUUCUAUCCUCUGGUGUCCUUCACUGGAUGCCUUUGGGUGGUCGGUGCAUUUACUUUGAAAAAAUUGGAGUGCUCAACGCAGGCGAAGUGCCUGAACACUUAUGCAUGGAAUAAUAGAACAAGACCCCGUUUCUGUUCUGUUGGUUUUUGGAAAACGAGGUAAUGAUCAAGAGGGACUGACGGGGGCAUUCGUAUUGCGGCGCUAGAGGUGAAAUUCUUGGACCGUCGCAAGACGAACUACAGCGAAAGCAUUUGCCAAGAAUGUUUUCAUUGAUCAAGAACGAAAGUUAGAGGUUCGAAGGCGAUCAGAUACCGCCCUAGUUCUAACCAUAAACGAUGCCAACCAGCAAUCCGCCUGAGUUACUCCAAUGACUCUGCGGGCAGCUUCCGGGAAACCAAAGUAUUU